rnacentral:misc_RNA from 1 species
GUUUUUCUCAAUCUGUGUAAUCAAAGAAUCUUAUAUAAUUGAUCUUCCAUUCUAUUUUGCAAUUGAGUCUUCUUAAUUUCCAUUGUAGAAAAUGCCUUACAACAAUUGCAGUUUCAAAAAGUAAUAUCGACAUCCAUUUCACAUGCAAAUAAACCAAUGGAUAUACCAGAUUUUUCUUCCUUUGAAUUAGCUUUCAAGUAAAACCACCAUAUCCCUUAAUUUACCUUAUGAAAUUGAGUUUGUCUACUGGUUUUAUCUUGAAACAAAAAUGAAAAGGAAAAAAAAAUGACAAUCAAUUCGUAAAGAAUGACAAAGAAUAAUAAUAAUGAAAAAAAGAUAUGAGAAAAAAAAUUGUGAUUUUGUGAAUAGGAGAAGGAAUAGAUAUAAAAGAUAGAAAAUGAAAAGUUAGAGAGAAAAAGAGAUGCAUUUUUAGUGUUUAGUAGACAGAUUUUGAUCUUUUUUUAGGUUUUAUUAUUUAUUUAAAAAGAUUAAAAUACUAAAUAUUAAGGGUAAACAAUUUAAUAAAUCUAAAUUUAUUAAAUACAAUAAUAUUUUUAAAAAUUUUAGUGGAGUUGAAAAAUUAUUUGUGAUUGUCAUAUAAAUAAUUUAACGUAUAGUAUUGUAGGGGCAAGGGGACGUGAGGCGAAAUAUCAUCCAUUAAAAUUAUAUAAAAUGCACCAGGUAA